rnacentral:rRNA from 1 species
GACGAACCGUGCGAACGUUAUUCGGAAUCACUGGGCUUAAAGCGCGUGUAGGCGGUGCUCCAAGUCUGGUGUGAAAUCUCCCGGCUUAACUGGGAGGGUGCAUUAGAAACUGGAAUGCUAGAGGAUGGGAGAGGUAAGCGGAAUUCCUGGUGUAGCGGUGAAAUGCGUAGAUAUCAGGAGGAACACCGGUGGCGAAGGCGGGUCUCUGGGCAGUAACUGACGCUGAGGAGCGAAAGCGUGGGGAGCGAACAGG